rnacentral:rRNA from 2 species
UCCUACGGGAGGCAGCAGUAGGGAAUCUUCCGCAAUGGACGAAAGUCUGACGGAGCAACGCCGCGUGAACGAAGAAGGCCUUCGGGUCGUAAAGUUCUGUUGUUAGGGAAGAACAAGUACCAGAGUAACUGCUGGUACCUUGACGGUACCUAACCAGAAAGCCACGGCUAACUACGUGCCAGCAGCCGCGGUAAUACGUAGGUGGCAAGCGUUGUCCGGAAUUAUUGGGCGUAAAGCGCGCGCAGGUGGUUCCUUAAGUCUGAUGUGAAAGCCCACGGCUCAACCGUGGAGGGUCAUUGGAAACUGGGGAACUUGAGUGCAGAAGAGGAAAGUGGAAUUCCAAGUGUAGCGGUGAAAUGCGUAGAGAUUUGGAGGAACACCAGUGGCGAAGGCGACUUUCUGGUCUGUAACUGACACUGAGGCGCGAAAGCGUGGGGAGCAAACAGGAUUAGAUACCCUGGUAGUCCACGCCGUAAACGAUGAGUGCUAAGUGUUAGAGGGUUUCCGCCCUUUAGUGCUGCAGCUAACGCAUUAAGCACUCCGCCUGGGGAGAAGCCCCA